rnacentral:rRNA from 1 species
GCAGUCGAACGAUGAAGCCCUUCGGGGUGGAUUAGUGGCGAACGGGUGAGUAACACGUGGGCAAUCUGCCCUUCACUCUGGGACAAGCCCUGGAAACGGGGUCUAAUACCGGAUAACACUUCCCUCCUCCUGGAGGGUGGUUAAAAGCUCCGGCGGUGAAGGAUGAGCCCGCGGCCUAUCAGCUUGUUGGUGAGGUAAUGGCUCACCAAGGCGACGACGGGUAGCCGGCCUGAGAGGGCGACCGGCCACACUGGGACUGAGACACGGCCCAGACUCCUACGGGAGGCAGCAGUGGGGAAUAUUGCACAAUGGGCGAAAGCCUGAUGCAGCGACGCCGCGUGAGGGAUGACGGCCUUCGGGUUGUAAACCUCUUUCAGCAGGGAAGAAGCGAAAGUGACGGUACCUGCAGAAGAAGCGCCGGCUAACUACGUGCCAGCAGCCGCGGUAAUACGUAGGGCGCAAGCGUUGUCCGGAAUUAUUGGGCGUAAAGAGCUCGUAGGCGGCUUGUCACGUCGGUUGUGAAAGCCCGGGGCUUAACCCCGGGUCUGCAGUCGAUACGGGCAGGCUAGAGUGUGGUAGGGGAGAUCGGAAUUCCUGGUGUAGCGGUGAAAUGCGCAGAUAUCAGGAGGAACAC